rnacentral:tRNA from 1 species
GCUCAGUUGAGCAUGGCGCUAACAACGCCAAGGUUGCGGGUUCGAUUCCUGU